GGCCCCAUCGUCUAGUGGUUAGGACGGCAGGUUUUCAUCCUGUAAACGCGGGUUCGAUUCCCGCUGGGGUCA
rnacentral:tRNA from 2 species